rnacentral:rRNA from 1 species
UGCAGUCGAACGGUGAAGCCAAGCUUGCUUGGUGGAUCAGUGGCGAACGGGUGAGUAACACGUGAGCAACCUGCCCUGGACUCUGGGAUAAGCGCUGGAAACGGCGUCUAAUACUGGAUAUGAGCCUCUUCCGCAUGGUGGGGGUUGGAAAGAUUUUUUGGUCUGGGAUGGGCUCGCGGCCUAUCAGCUUGUUGGUGAGGUAAUGGCUCACCAAGGCGUCGACGGGUAGCCGGCCUGAGAGGGUGACCGGCCACACUGGGACUGAGACACGGCCCAGACUCCUACGGGAGGCAGCAGUGGGGAAUAUUGCACAAUGGGCGGAAGCCUGAUGCAGCAACGCCGCGUGAGGGAUGACGGCCUUCGGGUUGUAAACCUCUUUUAGCAGGGAAGAAGCGAAAGUGACGGUACCUGCAGAAAAAGCGCCGGCUAACUACGUGCCAGCAGCCGCGGUAAUACGUAGGGCGCAAGCGUUAUCCGGAAUUAUUGGGCGUAAAGAGCUCGUAGGCGGUUUGUCGCGUCUGCUGUGAAAUCCCGAGGCUCAACCUCGGGCCUGCAGUGGGUACGGGCAGACUAGAGUGCGGUAGGGGAGAUUGGAAUUCCUGGUGUAGCGGUGGAAUGCGCAGAUAUCAGGAGGAACACCGAUGGCGAAGGCAGAUCUCUGGGCCGUAACUGACGCUGAGGAGCGAAAGGGUGGGGAGCAAACAGGCUUAGAUACCCUGGUAGUCCACCCCGUAAACGUUGGGAACUAGUUGUGGGGACCAUUCCACGGUUUCCGUGACGCAGCUAACGCAUUAAGUUCCCCGCCUGGGGAGUACGGCCGCAAGGCUAAAACUCAAAGGAAUUGACGGGGACCCGCACAAGCGGCGGAGCAUGCGGAUUAAUUCGAUGCAACGCGAAGAACCUUACCAAGGCUUGACAUACACCAGAAC